rnacentral:rRNA from 1 species
AUUGAACGCUGGCGGCAGGCCUUACACAUGCAAGUCGAGCGAGCGGCGGACGGGUGAGUAAUCGCUGGGAAACCGCUAGCUGGAGGGGGAUACCCACUAGAAUCGGUAGCUACUCACACAUCCCAUCUGAUGUGUACCGAUGGGAUUAGCUGGUAGGGGGGGUAACGGCUAACCAGGGCGUCGAUCCCUAGCUGGUCUGAGAGGACGACCAGCCACACUGGGACUGAGACACGGCCCAGACUCCUACGGGAGGCAGACGUGGGGAAUAUUGAACAAUGGGGGAAAGCCUGAUGCAGCCAUGCCGCGGGUAUGAAGAAGGCCUGCGGGUUGUAAAGUACUUUCAGCGGGGAGGCGUUACCUGCAGAAGAAGCACCGGCUAACUCCGUGCCAGCAGCCGCGGUAAUAC